AUGGCCGGCGCUGGAUCGGGUUCAUCCGCACCAGGAGAAGGAGGCUUUCACUUGAUGAGUUGCCUAAAAGAAGUUCCGACACUCAGAGGUGACAACCACACUGAGCGGAGGAAGAAAGUUGAACUGGCAUUUAUUUGUGCUGAUCCUGACUGGGUUGUGGUGAAACCACAGCCGGUCAGACCCACAGAGCCAGUAAGAGAGGCCACUGAUGAUGAUGCUGCAUGGGCUAAAAAGAAGGGGGACUAUGCUCCUUUGGAGCAGUCCUACCUCAUAGAUAAUCAAAAGUGGGUCAAUGCAAGCAAAAAGUGCAUGACUUUUAUAAAGAAUACAAUUGAGAGCGCCAUUGUGGGCUCCAUUCCAGAGUGCACUUCCGCAGGGGAGUUGCUUACAAAGAUAAAGAGCCAGUUCACUGGCUCUUCAAAGAUCUAUGCCACCCAGGUGUUAGAGCAACUGGUGACAGAACGCUACACAGGUGGUAGUCGUGGAAUAAGAGAGCACAUCCUCAGGAUGAGUAAUAUGGCAGCAAAGCUCAAGCCCAUGGAUGCAGAUCUGGAGAUCAAACCAGCGCUCCUGGUCCACCUGGUCAUGGCUUCACUGCCACAGGAGUUUGCAACUUUUGUUGUAAACUAUAAUAUGUCACCUGGAACAUGGGACAUUAAAAAGACAAUAGCAAUGUGUGUCCAAGAAGAGGACAGACUCAAAGCCGCACAUGGUGGUUCAAUCAACUAUGUGAAGGAUUGGAAGAAAAAGAAUUACAAUCAAAACAACAAAAGUUCUCCUUCAAAGAAUGGAAAAGCCCCCUAUCAGCAUCAGCAUCAGCAACAGCCUUUCUCAGUGGACAAAGACACGUGUCUCCACUGCAAGCAGAAAAGGCAUUACAAGAAAGACUGCGCUGCUUGGCUGAAGUCAGUCAUGGCAAAAAGAGGGAUUCCAUUUGACGCGAACUACGCUAAGAAGCGAAAGACGCAUUGA
rnacentral:rRNA from 1 species